rnacentral:rRNA from 1 species
AUGGCUUCUGAGGAAACCAAACCAAAGAAGCAAAGAGAUGAGGAAUGCAUUAUAAACGGUCUCCCAGGAGAACUCAUUGAGCGGAUAUUUUUUAAGCUUCCAGUGAGCACUUUGUUGAGGUGCACUGGUGUUUGCGAGCAGUGGCACAAAAUCAUCCGAGAUCCUCAGUUUGUCACCUCUCACCUCCAGGAUGCGCCCCAAUGUGCCUUCCUAUUCUUUCCGCAAGAGUCGGUCUCAGGUGAGCCCCAUCCUGCUGAUGCUAUCCUGAUUGAUGAAGCCUGGUCGCCAUCGACAUAUGCAGUGCCAGUGAUUGGGCCUGACGAUUUCCUUUGUGGUUCAUGCAAUGGGCUUGUUGUCUUAUACACAAAGUCAUCAACACUCAAGGUAGCUAACUUUGCAACUGGUGAAUGCCUGCAUCUUGAGAAACCUGUAAAGAAUUUGAGGGGUGAUCACUUCUUGUUCUACAACUUUGGAUUUCACCCAUUGACAAAAGAAUACAAGAUUACACACUUUCUUGCUGAUCCUAUUGUGGGUCGCCCGUGCUCCCAUAAUAAUAGCAGAUUCAGUGUCAUUCAAGUUUACACACUUGGUGAUGAGAAAUGGAGAGAUAUCAAAACUCCAGAAGCCCUAAGCUUAAACUGUGUAAAAAACUCUGGAGCAGUCAAUAUUGACGGAACAAUGUAUUGGCUAACUGAAGACAUGGUAGCUAGCUGGCAGCAUGCAGUUAUGGCCUUUGAUCUCAAUGAAGAAAGUUUUGCUCAGAUACAACUACCAGCAACUGUACAUGAAGAUUGUGCAGGUGGCGGUCCCCGUCGGUACUGGAUCCGAGAGAUAAAUAGGAAGGUAUGUAUAGCAACAGCUCAAGCCUGUCCGUCUCUUCCCAGAAGGCUUGUUGGUAUGCUGCAGAUCUGGGAACUUGAGAACAAAACGGAGCAUAGGUGGAGCCGGAAGUACAAUAUUCAGUACUCGCCAGAUUACAUUCUGGGUCCAAAUUUGGUUCAUGGGGAUAAGAUCAUAGUGCCAUGUCGCGAUGGCAACCUAUAUUCUUAUGAGUUGCUCGGGGAGAACUUCAAUACUAAAUUGUGUAAGAUGGCAAAGCUGUUAGAUUUCAGUCCCUACAAGCCUGACAACAUGCAAUCCUAUAUCUGUGUGAAGUCACUUGUACGUUCAGAUGCAUACAAGAAGGCUGGCAUCACGCGUAGGCCAAAACAGAGGGAAUGCUGGGAAUUGAAGAAGUGGGAGGCGUAG